GGCGGAGUGGCUGAACGGUUUAAGGCGCUGUUUUUAGGCACCAUUCUAAAAGGGCGUGGGUUCGAACCCCACCUCCACCA
rnacentral:tRNA from 1 species